AUACGAAGGGGGCUAGCGUUGUUCGGAAUUACUGGGCGUAAAGCGCACGUAGGCGGAUUGAUAAGUUAGGGGUGAAAUCCCGAGGCUCAACCUCGGAACUGCCUUUAAUACUGUUAGUCUCGAGUCCGGAAGAGGUGAGUGGAAUUCCUAGUGUAGAGGUGGAAUUCGUAGAUAUUAGGAAGAACACCAGUGGCGAAGGCGGCUCACUGGUCCGGUACUGACGCUGAGGUGCGAAAGCGUGGGGAGCAAACAGGAUUAGAUACCCUAGUAGUCC
rnacentral:rRNA from 1 species